rnacentral:rRNA from 1 species
GACGUAGGGGGCGAGCGUUGUCCGGAUUUAUUGGGCGUAAAGAGCGUGUAGGCGGCCAGACAGGUCCGUUGUGAAAACUCGAGGCUCAACCUCGAGAUGUCGAUGGAAACCGUCUGGCUAGAGUCCGGAAGAGGAGUGUGGAAUUCCUGGUGUAGCGGUGAAAUGCGCAGAUAUCAGGAAGAACACCUAUGGCGAAGGCAGCACUCUGGGACGGUACUGACGCUGAGACGCGAAAGCGUGGGAGCGAACAGG